UUCACUUUUCUUAACGUUUUACUUAAUUUUAUAUCAUUUUUAUUUUCGUAUUUUUUUAAUAUUAAUAUUUUAUUUUAAUUAUUUAUGCUAAAUGGUUCAUUUUAACACACUUUGUUUUAUUGAUUUUACUUUUAUGGCUUAAAAUUAUUGUUAGCAUUUAAUUUUUGGGAUGAAGGUUGACCACUGUCUCAUGGUCAACUUGACCUUUUCUUGGAAUUUUAUUUCACAUUUUCAAUUUAUUUUGGAUUUAUUUUUGACCUAGUUUGGUUGGUGGACUUUUAAUUUGACUU
rnacentral:lncRNA from 1 species